GACGGAGGGUGCAAGCGUUGUUCGGAAUUACUGGGCGUAAAGGGCGCGUAGGCGGUGUGUCGCGUCGGCCGUGAAAACCUGCAGCUUAACUGUGGGCGUGCGGUCGAUACGGGCAUCACUGGAGUUCGGCAGGGGAGACUGGAAUUCCUGGUGUAGCGGUGAAAUGCGCAGAUAUCAGGAGGAACACCGGUGGCGAAGGCGGGUCUCUGGGCCGAUACUGACGCUGAGGAGCGAAAGCGUGGGGAGCAAACAGG
rnacentral:rRNA from 1 species